rnacentral:rRNA from 1 species
GACGAACGCUGGCGGCGUGCUUAACACAUGCAAGUCGAACGGAAAGGCCCUGCUUUUGUGGGGUGCUCGAGUGGCGAACGGGUGAGUAACACGUGAGUAACCUGCCCUUGACUUUGGGAUAACUUCAGGAAACUGGGGCUAAUCCCGGAUAGGAGCUCCUGCUGCAUGGUGGGGGUUGGAACGUUUCGGCGGUUGGGGAUGGACUCGCGGCUUAUCAGCUUGUUGGUGGGGUAGUGGCUUACCAAGGCUUUGACGGGUCGCCGGCCUGAGAGGGUGACCGGCGACAUUGGGACUGAGAUACGGCCCAGACUCCUACGGGAGGCAGCAGUGGGGAAUAUGGCACAAUGGGCGGAAGCCUGAUGCAGCAACGCCGCGUGCGGGAUGACGGCCUUCGGGUUGUAAACCGCUUUCGCCUGUGACGAAGCGUGAGUGACGGUAAUGGGUAAAGAAGCACCGGCUAACUACGUG